AUGUGACCAGACUUGAGUCGUUUCGCAACGAUUCAAACGAGGAUCACUUCGUGCUUUUGUCGUGUCCUUUUCACGAAAGUGUCGCUUGCGAACGAACAUCGGGAGUGUUGUAUCUCGCGAUAGACCAUUGUUUCCGCAUAUUAUUCGAAUCGCGUAAACGCGAUCAAGCGCGAUAUUCUGCAAUACUCCGGACCAUCGCGUCGUGUCAUUGUCGAGGCUGACAACGUACGAUCAACAUAAUAAGGCGAAAAGAUUUUCGUGUCCGUCUGAAUAUCCGGAACGACGGAGCGGCCAAGAGCAGCAUUCGAGUGCGAGAUCAGAACGCGGAAAUAAUUAUGCAGUGAUAACGAACACGGACGAGCUUCUGCAAUUUCAAUGGAAUGAAAACUCACAGAGCAACGGCGGCGGCAGCGGCUACCGGCUGGCUUUUCGCGAAGAAAAAACAACUUCGGUCGUUGGGUAGCGGAGAUGCGAAAUAUCCUGCAGCGGUAAGUCGAACUUCAAAACUUUCUCAUAGAAACUCAUUUCCACGAGGGUGAUGGUGUGCCUCCUUGGAGCGCGAGAGGGGAGGAGGAGGAGAUAGGAAGGAAGGUGUGGAAAAUAAGAGGGAAAAAGAAGCGCUUCGUUCGCGAAGUAAAGGAACUUGGCGCACACGGA